GCUAUUUAAACACUUAUCAGGAAGCAUGUAAACUCCACAUGUGGCUCAUUCAGUACAUGUAGCUUUUAGUUUGUGGUUGAUCUCUGUGAUGAGUUCGCUCUGUGCAGCAACGACAAGAUGACACAUCACUCUGCAUAGACCCGCCUCUAAACAGCGUCGGUGCUCAGUCUGCAGUAGAAUUUGCAACUUUCACCCUGAUGCCAAAUCCUUGUCAUCCGUCAUGCAGGGCUGCAAGAGGUGAAAGGGACCGACUGGAAGUGAAACAGGAGGAUUUAUGUACCAGUUGUUCAUCAGCACAGAUGUCAAAAGCGCGUCUAAAGGCAACAAUGACUCCACUGAAUGCCGUCUCCGGGCAGAAAGCUUUAACUAUGUGACCCUCUCAGAAGGUUGACAUUUCACAUUCACAGAGCAACAACAUCAGAUGAAAAUCCACGAGAGGGCUUGAUCCCACUUUAAGGGUUUAGGCCAGAGUUUUUUCCUUUUUUUCCCCCCAGUGUUGAACUUUCUUUUUUUUUUCCACCCUGCAAAUGUGCCGCACCUACCUUCAACAUCCCAAAGUCACAGCAGCAAAUCCAGAGAAAUGACGUCACCGAUAAAGAGCGCAGAAGCAAAAGGAACCAGUCCAGGUAGAGCAGUCAGAGGGAAGCUUGUAAAUAUGGUUCUUUAUUGCACACAUGACAUUUGUUUUCCUUUUUCUUUUCUUUUCUUUCUUUUUUUUUUUUUUUUGGUGUGAGCAACAAAAACUGGCAUUACAUGUUUUACACCCUAUUCAAAAUUCUCAGUCUAACCUUCUAUAAAAUCAAGGUAACACAAAACAAAAUAAAGACUACUUCACAUAAAAACUUACAACUCCACAAAGAUCUCACAGAUAUUAGUGCACCACUAUAUGGAUGAGGAACUUACAAUAUAAUAUCAUUCUAGUAUAAUUUUAGGAGAAAAAAAAAAGCUUUUAACUUUUAAAUGAAUAUUUAUCACUGUCAAACAAAAGAAGAAAAAAAAAAAAAAAGCAAAACCAAAAAAAACCCCCAAAAAACACAAAAAAUCCAGUGGGGCUAAAAAUGUUCUCAUUCUGUAUUUUGGUAGCUUUUGCCCUUUAACCACCUGAGUGCUACAUCGCUGAGAUCAAUACUGAUUUGUUAACCUGCCGUUUAACUCAUUGGAGGAAUGUUUGUUAAACAGAAGAAAAAAUAAAAAUAAAAAAAUAAUAAAAAGAUUGACAGGUGAAAAGGUAGUUAGUAGAUAAAUACACUGAAUGCCUUGCGACAGAUUUGGAAAGGCACUGAGAGCCAGAGAAGGCAGCAGUAUGCAAACAGCCACUUCCUGCAUACUGUGGUCCAAUCAGAAAGAAAAGUUCUCAGUGGAUCAAAUCAAAAACAGGACCCAUUAAGCCAAAGUUUAAUGGUGGGAAAACAUCUUGUGACCAAAUUCCCUAUGAUUUGGUCAAACUUUGCCAGUUUAAUAGAAUAUGUACAUUGUGCUGGGAAACAAAAACAGAAAAAAAAAAGGAGAAGCUCGGGCAUUUAGUUUUUUUUGUGCUCAACAAAAAAGCUGUUGGCGAGAUAAAGGGAGACAGAAAAUUGGCACUUGAAUGAUAACAGUAUAAAAAUAUAUAAUUUCCCAAUCUGAGAAAAAAGGCACUUUUUUUUUUCCCCCAAACUCACAGCUGCAAUAUUUUAGGCAGUGUUUGUAGUACAUUGUGCUUCGGAAAAUAGCUUCACUGCCGUUUUCAUCAGCUCUUUUUUUUAGUUUUUUAUUUUUAUUUUUUUAAGAGCGAGACACUGAAAACCUCUCCGACAUAAAAGGCAAGACUUGUGACAGCACAAAUACACGGACUGGACGGAUUCUUAGCUCAGGUUGCUCAUUAUGGCACAGAGGAGCCAAUCAAAAGGCCAAUGCUUGAUGAUUAUUAAAUAAAAAAAGCUUACGCCUAACAUCAUAAAAUGUUAAAAAAAAACAAAAACAAAACAACAGUUUGGCUGCCUGUAAUCCAAUCUCUGCCUCUACUUGCUGGCGUACAAGCAGGUGUUAGCGAAAAACACCUGUUAUCAGAUCAAAGACACAAAAUGUUAAUUUCAGAGAGAAGAGAAAUGUUAAGUUUGAUGUUAGACACUUUUAAUCUGUGUUCUUUGCUCGUUGAGACAUGAAAAGAAUUGCAGCAGUUAAGGCCGAGUUGUUGUGCAGAUUUAUAAAAAAGAAAAAAAAAAAAGGAGGGAAAAAAACCAAAAACAAAUCUGGAGGCACCACUCAGUGGGUUAAAGUAAUAAUCAGGAUUAAUGAAGUUAAUCUUUUGCUUGCGUGUCAGCGUCAAUACCUCGAAUUAGUGGAAGAGAGAAGAAAGCUGAAUAGGGAGAAGAAAGCUGAAUGAACCCAGGGACGAGUGCACUGACACAGUAGGAGGAUGAACACUGGCAGUGAUUCAGACAAAAAAAAAAAUCUCCCCCAAAACAAUAAAUACUGGCGAGCUGAAAGCCAUAUCAGCAUUUUACACUGGAAGAAAUAGUGAAGUUGUUUUGAUCCCAAAGCUCUUCAUAUUGGCAUGGUGUACUGGUGUGUGUCUAAGCAUUAUGGAUGCUCCCAAAUGGCCCAGUAUUAGCCGUUAUAUCAAUAAGCUGAAUGGGGAGAAGUGUUCACCAAACAGACAACAGCUGGUGAUAACUGUAAUGCUGCUAUCCAGGCAUAACAAGCCACGGAUGCAAGGGAAGGGGACGACAAAAAACCCCACAACGGACAGCUUUAGACAUUCACACAACUGUCAUCUAGAAAUUCGCCCCGAGUGUCUGUUGUAAAUAACUCACCACGUUUAUAAUAUGCGGUGAUGAGAUGUUCUGCUCUACAUAUUCACAGUAAAAUUAAUCCUUCUGAGAUGACUAAUGUGCAGUAUUUAUUUAUUUAUUUAUUUUUUGCACAGUUGUGAUUAGUCCUGCACUAACUAAUGGUAAGAGAAAGGCUGUCUGUGGAAAAAUGUUCUCUGUGGGGACCGGGGUUUUUUUUUGUUUUACUUUGAGAGUAACCCGAGUGUACAGACAAAUCCAUUUAAAAUCAGAGUGUGCUUUGUUCAAGAGCUGACCCAGAAGUUAACCAGUGACCUCAAGCAACGUGCAGCUUAUUAAACCUCCCUCGCUCGCACCCACCCACCCCCUCUGCAACACUUCCUGCCGUCUCAUGGGGGAGGGGUCAGUGACACAGAAGGACAGGACAACUAACAAAAGAGUCGUCUCUAAGGGAGACGACGAGACAACAGCAGCAGUGUUGUAACUGAGCGGGGCGAGUAUGAAGAGUGUCAGCAGGUUUUUCUCCAGCACAGAGGCGUCCGUCUCAAUCUGAUCCUCGCUAACUUCCCAAGGGUUAUGACUGUUUUGGUCUUCGUCUUCCUUUCCAAUCAUAUUCAAGGUAACACCAUUUUUUUUUCUCACCCACUUGGUUUUUCUGUUUACCACUAUACUGUUUUAAACCUUUUUUUAUUUUGUUUUUUUUUCAGAUUUUGUAACUGCAAGUAAAGUAUCAAAAGCUAAAAUUGCCAAAAAUAGAUUUUUCAAUUUUUUUCUCAUCUCCAGCACCCUGUAAAAUUAUCUAUUUUUUGUUCUCUUCUGUAUUUGUAUAUGCAAUGACAGAUAUCUACAUUUUUAUAUAUUUAUAUAUAUAUAUUUAUAUAUAUAUAUAAGACGUAUGUAUAAAGCAAUUUGAACAGGCAGGCAUGGCUUUCACAUCCUAUUUUUUUCUUGAGAGAGUUGAACAAAAGAUUGUGGGCUCAGAAACUAGACUACGAUCACAGGAGGUGUGACACAUUGUGGAUGCGCUUUUUUUUGGAUGGUUUGGCAUGUGAAGUUUCAUCAGUAAUAUAAUCAAAACAAACAAAAAUAAAAGUAACUAAUCUUCAGGAAGGCUCCGAUUGUGCCGACCUCAUGUUCAGGCUAAUGUAAAAUAUUCAACUGGGGUUAAAAAUAAAAAUGCAUUUAAAAAAAAAUACAAAACUUGGCCAAAUGUCAAGAGAGAAAAAAAAAAGAAAAGAAAAAUGAAGAAAUAAACACUAGUUUGGCAAUGAGGCUGAUGAAACAACUUAAUUUAGAAGAAGGUUAUCAUGGCAAAGCAUUUAUGUACACAACUUCAAAGUGCCCUUCCCCCUAGCAAUGUACUGUAAUCCAGUAGCAUGUUGAUUUAGUGUUAAUUGCCUGUGUUCACCUCAGAAAAUAUAGAGCGGUAAUGGGUCAGAAAAAAUCUAAUAAAAAUCAUCUAACUGACUGGCUGUCUGUUCCAGCUGAAGGCAGGCACCAAAAAUUCACACCCUUCCAAACUCUAAAAUCACAAAGAGAGCCCUCAAUGAGACAGAUGCAUAAUUGCAGAUAUAAUUCACUGGAAACCCUUUGGCUAAAUAUGCACACUUAAUACUUUUUUUUUUUUGUCUUUGUGAUCACAGCUCAGCUAACUCAUUGAGAUAUUUUUCUAAAUACAUCAGGCACUGUAUAGUGGAUGUAGUGUGGAUGGGGGUGUAGCAAUGGCCAGUAGCUAAUAAGCACUGCUCCAAUGUCCCCGAAGCCUCAGCACACCCUACUUUCAUUGUAGUAUUAAUUUAAAAAAACAAAACAAAA